UGCCUAGGAAAUUGCCCUGAUGUGGGGGAUAACCAUUGGAAACGAUGGUUAAUACCGCAUAAUGCUUACGGGCCAAAGAGGGGGACCUUCGGGCCUCUCGCGUCAGGAUAUGCCUAGGUGGGAUUAGCUAGUUGGUGAGGUAAGGGCUCACCAAGGCGACGAUCCCUAGCUGGUCUGAGAGGAUGAUCAGCCACACUGGAACUGAGACACGGUCCAGACUCCUACGGGAGGCAGCAGUGGGGAAUAUUGCACAAUGGGCGCAAGCCUGAUGCAGCCAUGCCGCGUGUGUGAAGAAGGCCUUCGGGUUGUAAAGCACUUUCAGUCGUGAGGAAGGUAGUGUAGUUAAUAGCUGCAUUAUUUGACGUUAGCGACAGAAGAAGCACCGGCUAAUUCCGUG
rnacentral:rRNA from 1 species